UCUAAGUAUUGAUGAAAAGGGUCUCAGUGUGCACAUGAAAAAAGGAGUCUAACACCAAGGAUUUGAUGGAUAAUUAUCUUCAUAUUAUUAAUGCAAAAUUUGUCUUUUCGUCGACACCUAAUAACACAGGCAUUGCCCGUUACUACCGCCUGUAAUUUGAUAAAGCUAAGUCAUCGUUAGAGAUGGGGCUUGUGUAAGAGCACACGGAGAAGGAGGGAGUAAAACAUCUGGUAUUACGGAAUUAAGGCCCUUGUUAAUUUCAGCUGCCUGUAAUAUGAUUUUUGGGGAGAAAAUGAAUUACUACUAUAAAGACGAGAACCUUCUACAUUUAAAAUAACAUUAGAACAGGGAAUUUAUUAUAAAGGGAGACUUAAACACCCCGACGACUUAUUAAAUAAU
rnacentral:lncRNA from 1 species